AGAAUCAACGCUGGCGGCGUGCCUAACACAUGCAAGUCGAACGAGAAAGUGGAGCAAUCCAUGAGUAAAGUGGCGACCGGGUGAGUAACACGUGACUAACCUACCUUCGAGUGGGGGAUAACCUCGGGAAACCGAGGCUAAUACCGCAUAACAUCGCAAGAUCAAAGCAGCAAUGCGCUGGAAGAGGGGGUCGCGGCUGAUUAGCUAGUUGGCGGGGUAAUGGCCCACCAAGGCGAAGAUCGGUAGCCGGCCUGAGAGGGCGCACGGCCACACUGGAACUGAAACACGGUCCAGACUCCUACGGGAGGCAGCAGUGGGGAAUUUUGCGCAAUGGGGGAAACCCUGACGCAGCAACGCCGCGUGGAGGAUGAAGCCCCUUGGGUGUAAACUCCUUUCGACCAAGACGAUAAUGACGGUACUGGUGGAAGAAGCGACCGGCUAACUCUGCGCCAGCAGCCGC
rnacentral:rRNA from 1 species